rnacentral:lncRNA from 1 species
UCGAGACUAUCGCCUUUUUCGUUUAAGUUAUUGGUGAAAAUGAUUUAGAUUUGAUCGGACUUAAGAUUUUUUAAGAGGUGACAAUUGUUUGAAUAAUCGAGUAAGGGAACUCAUGAUUAAACAAUUUAGGAAAGGAAUCGAAGGCUUGAGACCAUCCCCCUUUUCAUCUCUAAAUGAAAUGAUGUUUUAAGUAUAACUAAGUAUCGUAGUUUAAUUUGGAUAAAAACACUUGAUAUUUGAUCGAGGUUUGGAUUUGCGUUUGCGGAUGAAUUCAAGGUAUAUUUGGUGAAUCAAACACCUAAUCAAUUAAUUAAAAUUGAAUAGGUCUCAUUUUAAGAAAGCCCAAGAGUAAGCUAUGUGAGGUUAAUGGUGAUGCUAAAAGCAAUUGACUUAUGAUGAUGUUAAAAUGGGCUCGAUAUUGAAUCGAGAAUUAUUUGAUUUUUAAAUGGUUUAAUGCGAUUGUUAUGCUUGAAGUGCUUAUCUAUUUGAUAUCAUUAUAAAAAUAAAAUAUAAUGCAUGGUUUAGACGAAACGAGAAUUUGUACAAGUACAUAAAUCAAGCAAGCGCAUGAUAAUAACUCAAACAAAUCCCACAAAAACAAUUGGAUAUUUAACUAAAUAAAAAAUAAUAAUAAAAUUAAAUAAAAUAUUAAUUAGUUAAAUAAUAUUAAGUAGUUAAAUGACAUACAAAUUAUCUAACUAAAUCAAAUAAAACUAUUAAAUGUUAUUGCAAGAAAUAAAUAUAUAAAAUAUAAAAACAAACAAGCAAAUGGGCACAUUUUAACCUAAACAGCCUAGUUGGGGCGUCCCAUGCACUAAACAAUGGGGGUGUAGAAGGAAACCAAUCCAAUGGCCCAAGGCAGGAGGCCCACUUAGCCAGGAGAGUCCAAUGGACUCUCAUUCAACCGUGUUGACUAUGGGAAACGAUUCAGACCAACAGAUCCGGUGAUCUGAUUUGGUCAACGAAGAUGAAAGGUGAUGUGAUGCACAAUAGAAUGGUAAAAGGUGGAAGUCAGCAUGCAUGAUUAGGGGACAGAGUCAAAGAAAUGGUGAUAAGUGUCUUAAUGGUGGAGACACUUGUCACCACCAUGACAAACCACCAGCAAGUCAUUAAAAAAAACUGAAGAAAUAACUCAUUUGCAACAUGAACUUCUCCCUCUUUUCUAUGUCUCUCAUCUCUCUCUGCAAAAAAGCCACCAUCACUUCCUCUUCUCUGAAAUCACCCUGUCAGAGAAGACGGUGGUUUCCGGCCAGAGAGGGUGCCACCUUCUUCUCUGACGAAACAAACACGAAAAACUGAAACACUAACCCCCCAUAGAGUUUUGUCCUUAAUCCAAAUCCACCAUCAGUUUUCCCUAAAUCCUUCAUAUACAACCAGAACGACCUCCCCUAACCAAAACUCAACUUCAAUUUUAACAAAAACUCAAACCUUACAAUACAAGCCCUAGGUCAAAUCUUCUCUUACACAUAAAUCUGAAACUAAAAUUCACAAGGCCAUAAAUCAAAUGUCUGAAUUCAAACCCUAAAAAAUUAAACCACCAACGCUAAUGAUUUUAUGAAAUUGAUAUGGGGUUAUUGCUCAGUUAAACAAGGCAAAAAAGAUGGUAACAAGAAAUAGAAGGAAAUAAUGAAGAACUCACCAAAUCGGAGCUAGUCCAAUGAAUACCCCAGUUAGGUAAUCUUGUGAAACCCUUUUUCUACUUGCUUUUCUGCUUCUUUAUCCUUCUUCUUCUCAUUUUUAUUUUGUUCUUCUAUGAUUUGAUGUGUUUUGUGAGUAUAGGGAAUUAGGCCAAAUUCAACUACCUUAGAUUUUCAGUGUGAAACUCUAAGAAGUUUUAUGAGAAUUUGAGUUUUAGGUAAGGUUUAGGAUGAAUUUGGCAGAGUAACAGUGGAUGGACUCUCCGCCUUUUUAUGAAUAGAAUAUUGUAUCUAUUUAUAGGAAUGGAUAUGUAAUGAAGUUAAGAUCCAAAUUCGUGUAAAAUUCUAUUAGGGUACUCAGAGAAAAUCUUGACUCGUGUGAAAAUUUUGUGAAAUAGGUGAGCUGGAGACAUUCUUGAAUCUAACAGUUAUAGAGGUUUUGUGGAAUCCCUGAUUUUAUGGGAUAUUUUUGUGAGUUAAAUUGCAUGAUUUCUCUCUACUGAAGAUGCUUUUUUUUUUGUGACUUGUACCUUCUUUUACCUUUUCUAAUUUGUGUUGUCCCCAAUUAUAUUAUAUGUGUGAUGGUGAUAUUUCCAUUGUUAAAACCAAUUACUGCAGGUGUAAACAUGUUAAGUGUGACCUACUUUGAUUUUUGAUAUAGUCACAUACUUUGAUUGAAUUGAAUCUCUCUUAUUAUUGGAUUUUAUUUCUUGCUUGAAAAUAAAUGAUAUGGCUAUCUGUGAUGUAUUUUAACUCUGAAUCCAUUUUUUAAUGUUAUGGCAGGUCUUGUCAUAUGGAUGAUGUCAACCCUUGUUCUUAUUUUGCCUUUGGUUGUUGUAAACUUGAAACAUAUCAUAGUGAGGCUUGUUUGGGAUGCUUUAGACUAACUUUUCCCUCUAUUUUAAUAGGUCCCAAUGGAAAGGGUGGAUUUCAAGUGAAGAGUGAUUGAUUAAAGAUGGCUUAAUGUGGAAGUUUUGAAAAGGGAGUUUGAUGAUGUGUAAAUAGAAUUCUGAAGAUUAGGGAUAGGUUUAUGUCAGAAAUAAUAAAACAUUCCAAAUGUACCUUAACAUCAUUCGUACUUCAAAUGCUAGCUUUUCUUUGUAAUUUUCAAUGUAUUAUUGAAUGUAACUUUUGGAGGACAACUUUGAAAGUCAUUGUUUCUUCUUGAGUGUUGGAUAAAUAAACCUUUAGGCUCCAAAAUGAUCCCCUAAGUGAAAACGUAACUUUAUAAACAGAAGAAUGAAAUGCAACUAUCGCUUGCUUAUGCUUGAA